GUGAACAAAACGAACUCGGCCUUCCAGUUUGUUGUGCAAGCGGCCCAGCAGCCCAGCAACGGCGAGCUCUCCCCAACCGACGACCCACGACCCCGUCACGGCCUCGCCGGCGGCGGCACGCUCACUGGCCUUGCCGUCGCUGCCUCGCCUCCGGCUUCGCCCCGUCAUCCGGCGCUCGCCGACACCCCGCCUAGACCCCUCCUCCCCCUCCUACUCUCAAGUCUGACCCCCUCGCUCGUCCCCGGCUCCCCGACGCCCUGCGCCCAACGGCCGCCGACGCUCCCUGCCCCUUCUGGCAAAGCCACACAGGUGAGCACGAUGCUGCGCAGCUUCCCCCAGGCCCGUCGGCUUCUGAAGAGGCUGGGUUUUGAGAAGGGGGACGCCUACUUCUUUAAGCAGAUGGGCAAGGGCAUGCUAUGCACAUAUGCGCUUUUUGGCGCCGCGUGGUUCUGGAAUGAGACAUCACCGCUUGGCUGGUGGACGCUCAAGCCACGGCCCAAGGAAGAGAAGGAGAUGGCGCAUCUGUACGAUCGCAGGGAGUUCCCGUACCCGGGCGACGAGGAGGCGGUGGAGGAGUUCAUAAAGAGCGGGGGCGCCCUGGGCACGACGAUCGGGCCCAAGGGGUUCGCGGACGCCAACAUGGACUCGGACAACAUGCAGAAGCAGCUGCAGUCGAAGAAGUUUGACCAGGAGGCGCGCAAGCUGUGGUUCCGGAUGCGCAACGAGGUGGUGCAGGAGCUCCAGGAGAAGGGGUUCGACGUCGAAUGAUGCGACUCCGUGUUUGUCUGUUUGUUUGUUCUUUCCCCUAAAAGAAAGAAAGAAAGAAAGAAAGAAAGGGUCAAGUAAGUGUUUUGCAUUGAGAGCUCGUCGUUGGUGGUUCCUGGCGCGUGAGUGACGCCCAGCCGGCAUGGCGGCCAACGUGGGGGAGUCCACGAGCGGGAGCAGCAGCGUGGCCGGCGACGGCGGGGGCAGCUUCGAGUG